rnacentral:rRNA from 1 species
UGGGGAAUUGUUCGCAAUGGGCGCAAGCCUGACCCAGCAACGCCGCGUGAAGGAUGAAGUAUUUCGGUAUGUAAACUUCGAAAGAAUAGGAAGAAUAAAUGACGGUACUAUUUAUAAGGUCCGGCUAACUACGUGCCAGCAGCCGCGGUAAUACGUAGGGACCAAGCGUUGUUCGGAUUUACUGGGCGUAAAGGGCGCGUAGGCGGCAUGACAAGUCACUUGUGAAAUCUCUGGGCUUAACCCAGAACGGCCAAGUGAUACUGUCGCGCUAGAGUGCAGAAGGGGCAAUCGGAAUUCUUGGUGUAGCGGUGAAAUGCGUAGAUAUCAAGAGGAACACCUGAGGUGAAGACGGGUUGCUGGGCUGACACUGACGCUGAGGCGCGAAAGCCAGGGGAGCAAACGGGAUUAGAUACCCAAGUAGUCCCUGAGCGGGCUGGCAAGGCGCAU